GGGUCAGUAGGUUGGUCGUGCCACCGGUACGUACUGCUCUCACUGAUUCCUCCUUCCUGAAGAACCGUAAUGCCAUUAAUUUGGUGUUGCGGGGAAACAGGACUGAUACUUUGAAAAAAUUAGAGUGUUUAAAGCAAGCUAACGCUUGAAUACAUUAGCAUGGAAUAAUGAAAUAGGACGAUCGAUCCUAUUUUGUUGGUUUCUAGGAUUGACGUA
rnacentral:rRNA from 1 species